AUACGGAGGGUGCAAGCGUUGUUCGGAAUCACUGGGCGUAAAGGGCGCGCAGGCGGUUUGGUAAGUCAGAUGUGAAAGCCCAUGGCUCAACCAUGGAAGUGCAUUUGAAACUGUCAGACUUGAGUACUAGAGGGGAAAGCGGAAUUCCCGGUGUAGAGGUGAAAUUCGUAGAUAUCGGGAGGAAUACCGGUGGCGAAGGCGACUUUCUGGCUAGAUACUGACGCUGAGGCGCGAAAGCGUGGGGAGCAAACAGGAGUAGAAACCCCAGUAGUCC
rnacentral:rRNA from 1 species